CUAGAGGGGACAUGGUCAGGAUAGGGAGGGCAGUGGUGUUGCACUGCAGGUGGUUGUUAUACCUACGGAAUAUGAGCACUGUUUUGGAGUUUUAAUAUAAAUUAUCCUGAUAUUUGACCCUAGAGAAUUUCAUUAAAAAACCAUCAGCAAACCAAACAAGUCCUAUGUUGCCUAAACAUGGCUACAGCUGGAUGGAAAUAGCCUCUGAGCCCAUAUUUUGAGAACACUAGUCCAGUGCUGUGUUUGGCCUGAGUGACAUGUCAUUUGCCUGGUUCUGAGCGAAACACCCACAGAUCCUUUUUAGAGAGCAAGAAUCUCAUUUAGGGAAGUUCAUAAUUGAGCUAGUAAAGGGUAAACAUCAGGUAUCAAGUCUUGGUGAUAUCUGAUUGUAAAAGCCAAGGUUUUCCCCUUGCAAAUGAAACCCACAGUACCACAUCUUCCUGCCUCUAAGGAAAAAAGGACAUGAAUAAUGAUGGAGAGAUAAAAGGAGAAAUGAAAGGAAAACAAUGGAUAUUUAUUAAGCUCCAAUAACUGCCAGGCAUUGGAUCAGGGAUUGUGAGCACAUAGUUUAAGUCCCAUAGCUUCAUGAGGUAAGAAAGAAACAUUCUCACUUUUUGGUUAAAAAAAAAAAACUUGAGACCAACAGAGGUUGGUUAACUGGCACUUGGUCACACAGGUUUUAAGUGGCAGAUGAACCUCAAACCCACAUUCCAGUGAUUAAGGGUUUUAGGGAGAAGGAAUAUGUCUUCUUCUGAGGCUGAGAGAAGAAUGAAAUGAUAAGGAGCCCAGGGAACCUGCAGGUGCUCACCCUGCAGGAUCUUGUGUUUCCUGCUGAAAGGGCCAGGGCAGCUUAUCCGAGGAAGAGGGUCAGAUUGGAAAGUGAAGAAAAGAGAGGUCGCUCACCAGGGAGACCUGCUAGGAGAUGGAGACAUGAAGGAGAAUUGGUGGACAGUGAUAAAGGCAGCAGACGGUAAGACCUUGGGUGGAAUAAGUGUGUGUGCACCCUUGGUUCUUACCCCAACAUCCCUUAGAGUUGGUAACCAGAGAGGAGUUAAGUGAGUAGGACUGGCCAUUGGCUUGGUAAAAGUUGAACAGCUAAAGAAAGAUGGGCAGCUCAAUCUCAUUAGUCACCAGGAAAUGCAAAUGAAACCCACAGUACCACAUUGAUACCACUCCGCAUUCAUC
rnacentral:lncRNA from 1 species